rnacentral:rRNA from 1 species
GAUGAACGCUGGCGGCGUGCCUAAUACAUGCAAGUCGAGCGAACGGACGAGAAGCUUGCUUUUCUGAUGUUAGCGGCGGACGGGUGAGUAACACGUGGAUAACCUACCUAUAAGACUGGGAUAACUUCGGGAAACCGGAGCUAAUACCAGAUAAUAUUUUGAACCGCAUGGUUCAAAAGUGAAAGACGGUCUUGCUGUCACUUAUAGAUGGAUCCGCGCUGCAUUAGCUAGUUGGUAAGGUAACGGCUUACCAAGGCAACGAUGCAUAGCCGACCUGAGAGGGUGAUCGGCCACACUGGAACUGAGACACGGUCCAGACUCCUACGGGAGGCAGCAGUAGGGAAUCUUCCGCAAUGGGCGAAAGCCUGACGGAGCAACGCCGCGUGGGUGAUGAAGGUCUUCGGAUCGUAAAACUCUGUUAUUAGGGAAGAACAUAUGUGUAAGUAACUGUGCACAUCUUGACGGUACCUAAUCAGAAAGCCACGGCUAACUACGUG